GAUCCAUGGCUCAGAUUGAACGCUGGCGGCAGGCCUAACACAUGCAAGUCGAGCGGUAGAGAGAAGCUUGCUUCUCUUGAGAGCGGCGGACGGGUGAGUAAUGCCUAGGAAUCUGCCUGGAAGUGGGGGAUAACGUUCGGAAACGGACGCUAAUACCGCAUACGUCCUACGGGAGAAAGCAGGGGACCUUCGGGCCUUGCGCUAUCAGAUGAGCCUAGGUCGGAUUAGCUAGUUGGUGGGGUAAUGGCUCACCAAGGCGACGAUCCGUAACUGGUCUGAGAGGAUGAUCAGUCACACUGGAACUGAGACACGGUCCAGACUCCUACGGGAGGCAGCAGUGGGGAAUAUUGGACAAUGGGCGAAAGCCUGAUCCAGCCAUGCCGCGUGUGUGAAGAAGGUCUUCGGAUUGUAAAGCACUUUAAGUUGGGAGGAAGGGCAGUAAAUUAAUACUUUGCUGUUUUGACGUUACCGACAGAAUAAGC
rnacentral:rRNA from 1 species